UACGGAGGGGGCUAGCGUUGUUCGGAAUUACUGGGCGUAAAGCGCACGUAGGCGGCUUUGUAAGUUAGAGGUGAAAGCCCGGGGCUCAACUCCGGAAUUGCCUUUAAGACUGCAUCGCUCGAAUUGUGGAGAGGUAAGUGGAAUUCCGAGUGUAGAGGUGAAAUUCGUAGAUAUUCGGAAGAACACCAGUGGCGAAGGCGACUACCUGGUCUGGCAUUGACGCUCAUGUGCGAAAGCGUGGGGAGCAAACAGG
rnacentral:rRNA from 1 species